rnacentral:misc_RNA from 1 species
GAACGCACAUUGCGCCCGGCAGUAAUCUGCCGGGCAUGCCUGUCCGAGCGUCAUUUCUGCCCUCGAGCCUGUCCAGCAUCUAGGUGCUGUUCGGGCCCGGCGUUGGGGCACUACGGGAAGCCUCGUGCUAUCCCCCGUAGGCCCCGAAAUGAAGUGGCGGUCCUGCCGCGGCUCCCCCUGCGUAGUAUUACAGCUCGCUUCGGGACCCGGUGGAGGCCUGCCGUCAAACCUUACUCUCUAAGUUUGACCUCGGAUCAGGUAGGGUUACCCGCUGAACUUAAGC